UCUAAUAUGGCAGAAUAGUGCAUUGGAUUUAAACCCCAAUUAUAAAGAAUAAACUUUUUUUAGAA
rnacentral:tRNA from 1 species